GAACAUCUCUGUAAUAUAGACUGCUUCCUGGAAAGGAAUGCUGCAUAGCUAGAGCCGUUUCCCUAAUUUGAUUUUGUGUCAGCAGCAUGUGGAAUUUCCUUCGGUCACUUAAUGUCAUCAUAUCGUAUAGGCAACAGCACUCGGGACAGCACAGCAGCGCUGCUUUAUGGCUGCAGGGCCACCAGUUGAAAAUUCAUCUGAAACGUGACUUCAGCAGUGCAAAUGCUCAACUUGCUGCUCAUAGGGCUACGUCAUCACAGUCUAACUGCCCUGAAUGUAUAGCGUGUCUCAGGUUACUGCCCCAGCAGACGGAAGAAAGAGAAACUAGCAGAGAGGUUUUGAGAAGUCCAGUCCAUUUUCUUUUCACACUGAGCUACUUUCAAGUUAUUUUUUGAAAUAUUCAUUGGAAGUUAGUCAGUCAUCUAUAAUAAAAGCCAAUGAAAGUGCAGAUGUAACUCCCUUAGGCUCUUUGGAAAUGAUAGCCCUAACUACCCAAUUUAUGUGCUUCUCAGGACACUUGGGUGUUUUAAAACUCUAUUUCCUUCCAAACCACUAACAUUACCUGCCGUAAUAUAUAUAUAUAUAUAUGUAUUGAUGAUUUUGAAUAUGUGGCAAAAUUGCAGAAAAGGUGCUUCCACUGCUGAUUUUGUAAAGUAUUAUGGAUUCUCAGUAUUUAAACACAAUUUAAAAAAUACUUUUUUUUUUCUUACCAAUAUCAGUCUGAGAGCUACUCUCACUAAAAAUUGUAGCUCUCUAUCUGCAAGAAUUACAUGUCAUUUCUUUGCAAUUAUUUCAAUUAGCUGUAAAAACUUUUUGAUUGUGCCAAAAAUUCCACACAGUAAGUGAAUGUUUCUGACACUCACUGGGUUUGAAAGUGGUCUGCAGGGAAUGAACAGAUCAGUUCAGGAAAAGAUCCAAGUGAGUUAUGUGUAUGAUAAUUUACUGAAUUAGACUAGAAUGGAAAUUGUAACUAAAACUUGUUGACAGAGCCAGAGAAGUCCAUGUUGCAAUAAAAAUGUACUUGUCAUAUGUAGUAAAUGGAGACUGCUGAACAAUGUGAUUAAUGAUUUAAUUAUGAAUACUGAAAGAAUAAAGAAUUACCCUGUUCUACAGUCAAGUAUCACCUACAGAAAUUUUGCUAAUUGAGCUUAGAUACUUGACUUCGUGAAAAGCAAGAAAUACUGCUUUAAGUAUUAGUUGCUUGUCUUUUUUUUUUUUUUCAACACUUUGUGUGAUGAUAUAUAGGAAGUGAACUGAUAGCUAAUCAUGGGUCAAAUGAUGUGAUAUUUAUCAAAUUUUUGAAAGUGGCAGAGAAAGUGCAAUUUGAAGGGCAGUCUGUUUCCUGUUGUCAGCAGGGCUAGUAAAGUGAAACACAUCAUUUUGGUCAGGGUUCUGAACAGCCAUGAUGCCCAUCUGAACAUUGUGCGCUGACAUGGCAGAAUGCUGGCUUGUCCACGUCAGUUGUUUUCUAGUGACAUGAAAGAGGCAAAUAUUCAGAUAAAGCAAGUACAUUUCUUAUUUAAGUUCUUAGAGGGAGCAGAGGUUUAAUUUUACUGAUAAAAGUGUAGAGAAAAGCAUCUAGAGUUAACAAAUUCUACCUGCUGAUACCAUUAACUAAUGAAAAGAGAAAAAGAAUAGUCUAGUGAUGAUAUAAAAAUAUCAAAUAACCAACAAUGUGAUUUGC
rnacentral:lncRNA from 7 species